UUUUGUAAAGUAAGGGUUUGUGGUAACCCUAUGUUGAGCAAGUCUGUUGGCACCAUUUUUUCCAAUACCAUAUGCUCACUUCAUGGCUCUGUAUCACAUUUUGGUAAUUUUAAAAUAUUUGAAACUGUUAUUAGCAAAUCUGUUAUGAUGGUCUGUGAUCAGUGGUCUUUGAUGUGAGCAUACGCUCACUUCAUGGCUCUGUAUCACAUUUUGGUAGUUUAAAUAUUUGAAACUUUUUUCUUAUUAGCAUAUCUGUUAUGACGGUCUGUGAUCAGUGGUCUUUGUACUUGUUUUGGGGUUUCAUGUACCACAUCCAUGUAAGAUGGAGAACUUAGGCAAUAAAUGGUAUGUGUGUUCUAACUAUUCAAUCGACUGGCAAUUCCUCUGUCUCUUUCCCUCUCUUUGGGCCUCCUUAUCCCCUGAAAUGCAACAAUAUUGAAAUUAGGCCUAUGAGUAACCCAACAGUCGCCUUUAAGUGUCAAGUGAAAGGAAGAAUCCCAUCUCUCACUUUAAAUAAAAAGCUAGAAGUGAUUAAACUAAGUGAGGAAGGCAUGUUGAAAGUCAAGAUAGGCCAAAAGCUAGGCCUUUUGUGCCAGUUAGCCAAGUUAUGAAUGCAAAGAAGAAAAACUUCUUGAAGGAAAUUAAAAGUGCUACUCCAGGGAACAUAGGAAUGAUAAAGCAAAACAGCCUUGUUGCUGACCUGGAGAAAGUUUUAAUGGUCUGGGUAGAAGAUCAAGCAAGCCACAACACUCCCUUAAACCAGACACAGUGCCUCAUGUCUGUAAUCUCAGCACUUUGAAAGACUGAGGCAGGAGGAUCACUUGAGGCCAAGACUUCAAGACCAGCCUGGGCAAUAUAGCAA